rnacentral:rRNA from 1 species
ACUCGGGUGAAGGAACUAGGCAAAAUGGUACCGUAACUUCGGGAGAAGGUACGCUCUUGAUGGUGAAGUCCCUUGCGGAUGGAGCUGACGAGAGUCGCAGAUACCAGGUGGCUGCAACUGUUUAUUAAAAACACAGCACUGUGCAAAAUCGUAAGAUGACGUAUACGGUGUGACGCCUGCCCGGUGCCGGAAGGUUAAUUGAUGGGGUUAGACUUCGGUCGAAGCUCUUGAUCGAAGCCCCGGUAAACGGCGGCCGUAACUAUAACGGUCCUAAGGUAGCGAAAUUCCUUGUCGGGUAAGUUCCGACCUGCACGAAUGGCGUAAUGAUGGCCACGCUGUCUCCACCCGAGACUCAGUGAAAUUGAAAUCGCUGUGAAGAUGCAGUGUACCCGCGGCUAGACGGAAAGACCCCGUGAACCUUUACUACAGCUUGGCACUGAACAUUGACCCUACAUGUGUAGGAUAGGUGGGAGGCUUUGAAGCACGUACGCCAGUAUGUGUGGAGCCGUCCUUGAAAUACCACCCUUGUAGUGUUGAUGUUCUAACGUCGACCCCUAAUCGGGGUUGCGGACAGUGCCUGGUGGGUAGUUUGACUGGGGCGGUCUCCUCCCAAAGAGUAACGGAGGAGCACGAAGGUGGGCUAAUCACGGUUGGACAUCGUGAGGUUAGUGCAAUGGCAUAAGCCCGCUUGACUGCGAGAAUGACAAUUCGAGCAGGUGCGAAAGCAGGUCAUAGUGAUCCGGUGGUUCUGAAUGGAAGGGCCAUCGCUCAACGGAUAAAAGGUACUCCGGGGAUAACAGGCUGAUACCGCCCAAGAGUUCAUAUCGACGGCGGUGUUUGGCACCUCGAUGUCGGCUCAUCACAUCCUGGGGCUGAAGUCGGUCCCAAGGGUAUGGCUGUUCGCCAUUUAAAGUGGUACGCGAGCUGGGUUUAGAACGUCGUGAGACAGUUCGGUCCCUAUCUGCCGUGGGCGUUGGAAGAUUGAAGGGGGCUGCUCCUAGUACGAGAGGACCGGAGUGGACGAACCUCUGGUGUUCGGGUUGUGUCGCCAGACGCAUUGCCCGGUAGCUAAGUUCGGAAUCGAUAACCGCUGAAAGCAUCUAAGCGGGAAGCGAGCCCUGAGAUGAGUCUUCCCUGAUACUUUAAGUAUCCUAAAGGGUUGUCGGAGACUACGACGUUGAUAGGUCAGGUGUGUAAGUGCUGUGAGGCAUUGAGCUAACUGAUACUAAUUGCCCGUGAGGCUUAACCAUACAACACCCAAGG